ensembl:lncRNA
UGGAGAAUGAUGGUGUGUGAUGGUGAAUGUUGGUGUGUGAUGGAGAAUGUUGGUGUUUGAUGGUGAAUGAUAGUGUGUGAUGGUGAAUGUUGGUGUUUGAUGGUGAAUGUUGGUGUGUGAUGGUGAAUGUUGGUGGAGAAUGUUGGUGUGUGAUGGUGAAUGUUGGUGUGUGAUGGUGAAUGUUGGUGUGUGAUGGAGAAUGUUGGUGUGUGAUGGUGAAUGUUGGUGUGUGAUGGAGAAUGUUGGUGUGUGAUGGUGAAUGUUGGUGUAUGAUGGUGAAUGUUGGUGUGUGAUGGAGAAUGUUGGUGUGUGAUGGUGAAUGUUGGUGUAUGAUGGUGAAUGUUGGUGUGUGAUGGUGAAUGUUGGUGUGUGAUGGUGAAUGUUGGUGUGUG